rnacentral:tRNA from 8 species
GCGCCCGUAGCUCAAUUGGAUAGAGUGUCUGACUACGGAUCAGAAGGUUAGGGGUUCGACUCCUCUCGGGCGCG